rnacentral:lncRNA from 1 species
UAAGCACCGAUUGCAAUUAUAAGUUGCGCAUGUAGAUAUCGGUCUUCUCCCGACAUGCGCUCUGAUGACGGUUCCAUUUCCGCCAACUUAGGGUGAGAGUUAAGAGCCGGAGCCCUGUUGCCACCUGCAAAAUGCCUUAGCAACAUGUGGCAACUAUCUGCCCGAAGCAAGUUGCAAGCCAGCCCAGUUCAGGUUGCCACAUGCCAUGCUGGGUAUUCCCAGCGCGCUAGCGCACCUGCUUGGGCAGCUCGCUAUGGCUGCCGUCGACAGUUGACCCUGGUAUGCCAUCGCUAGAGUCGCAGCCCGCUCCGGCCAACCUCGCUCCUCCGCAACCGACACACGAACCCGACGUCACUUGAUCCCACAAUUCCAGCGACUUUUGCGACCGGCUCUCCACCGACCGCUUGGAUGCUUGCGCCCGGUCGCUGCCCCAGCUACUUCCGCGGUGAAAUAACAACGGUGAGCACUCUCAACCACUGCGAGGACAGCCCUAGCAACCGCACUGCGUAAGAAGUACAGCAUCGAUUUGCUGCAUGUUGAUUUUGGCGCAAAUGGGGGGUGCAAGCAGUUUGUUUCUCUCAGACGCGAGCUAGCGCCCAAGCGCGCGAUAUGGGGGCGAGGAGCCACUAUGUAGCUGUAACGAUUGCAUGAGUGGCGAAUUUUACUUCGAGGGUCUAGGGUGCGAGCGGAGUGGGAUUACCCCCCGAGGGGCACGCCAUGCGCUCAGGCCCCAUGCAACAGAAAUUCGCCGGGCACCAACCCACGCACAGAUAAUUCAUAGGACUACACCAUAGCCAUCAGAGACCGGCCGGGAACAAGCCCCGCAAGCGGGGCAGCAUGGGCGCGACACCACCCUGCCGCGCCAACUCACCCCAAACACGCCCCAACCACUUGUGCGACACAAGGGCUACCAUACAGUAGCGCGCGACACCUAAUCGCGUGCGCCGGAGUGUGCGAGCAAACAUUGUACGGAGGAGCUCGUUUGGGCCCUAGGACGCAGGGCCUGGGCUGGCAUUUGGUGCAUUCAAUAGAGCAUAGAAAACCGAGGCCACAUAUGUGCUCGGGUGCGCAAAGGUCGGCGGAAUUGUGGGAUCAAGUGACGUGGAAAUGGAUCUGGGGGACUGCGGGGUUUUGGGGUGUGUUGGGUUGGUGGCGUGAAGGGUGUGAUUUGUGAGGAAUUUAUCGAUGCAUGCCAAGUUGCACGCCUUUCCCCUGUGUUUCCUACAUGCCCCUGAACCCUCCCUUUGCUGGCUGCAGGCGAAGCGACAAGUGGUACCGCUGGUACCACCCACGGGGGCCUUGUGCCCAAGCCGUGGUGGCGCAUGGUAACUAUACACGUGGCGGUCAUCGACAUUGCUUUGUGCCGGCGCGCAGCACCCAGGAUGUGCGGCGAUCGCUGAAAUGCAGUUGUGGGGUCCACACUCAUAUGGCACCCACGCCCCACACAGCACUGAUGCAGGGCUCCUGCAGCCGUCACGCCAUGGGAAUCAGCAUAUGGGCAGUGGCCUGUGCAUACUUCUCUGUGGCCUGGCGGGGCAUCUGGCCAGGGCGUUUGACUAGCGGCAUGGGGCCUGCACGCCGGUAGGGGGGCGCAGGCCCAAAAUGAUGCAAGGAAGCUGAUGUGUUGCGUGAGGUGCGCAGCGGUUCCUGAUGGACGUGGGUGCUUUCAUGCGUAUGUAUAUUGGCUAUGUGUGUUGAUCUUUGCACCAGGGUGGUGUCGCCGCGCAGCGGAGCAUUGGUGUUGGUGCACGGGGCGUGAACAUUGGGGCCCGCAGUUGGGAUCGCGCCGGCACGGUCGCGGGCACCGCUGAAGAUAUGUUGGCGCGACCGGUCGCUUAUGGUGCACGCUAAUACCCGCAUACUGUGUGUAAGCACCGAUUGCAAUUAUAAGUUGCGCAUGUAGAUAUCGGUCUUCUCCCGACAUGCGCUCUGAUGACGGUUCCAUUUCCGCCAACUUAGGGUGAGAGUUAAGAGCCGGAGCCCUGUUGCCACCUGCAAAAUGCCUUAGCAACAUGUGGCAACUAUCUGCCCGAAGCAAGUUGCAAGCCAGCCCAGUUCAGGUUGCCACAUGCCAUGCUGGGUAUUCCCAGCGCGCUAGCGCACCUGCUUGGGCAGCUCGCUAUGGCUGCCGUCGACAGUUGACCCUGGUAUGCCAUCGCUAGAGUCGCAGCCCGCUCCGGCCAACCUCGCUCCUCCGCAACCGACACACGAACCCGACGUCUGACGUGGAAAUGGAUCUGGGGGACUGCGGGGUUUUGGGGUGUGUUGGGUUGGUGGCGUGAAGGGUGUGAUUUGUGAGGAAUUUAUCGAUGCAUGCCAAGUUGCACGCCUUUCCCCUGUGUUUCCUACAUGCCCCUGAACCCUCCCUUUGCUGGCUGCAGGCGAAGCGACAAGUGGUACCGCUGGUACCACCCACGGGGGCCUUGUGCCCAAGCCGUGGUGGCGCAUGGUAACUAUACACGUGGCGGUCAUCGACAUUGCUUUGUGCCGGCGCGCAGCACCCAGGAUGUGCGGCGAUCGCUGAAAUGCAGUUGUGGGGUCCACACUCAUAUGGCACCCACGCCCCACACAGCACUGAUGCAGGGCUCCUGCAGCCGUCACGCCAUGGGAAUCAGCAUAUGGGCAGUGGCCUGUGCAUACUUCUCUGUGGCCUGGCGGGGCAUCUGGCCAGGGCGUUUGACUAGCGGCAUGGGGCCUGCACGCCGGUAGGGGGGCGCAGGCCCAAAAUGAUGCAAGGAAGCUGAUGUGUUGCGUGAGGUGCGCAGCGGUUCCUGAUGGACGUGGGUGCUUUCAUGCGUAUGUAUAUUGGCUAUGUGUGUUGAUCUUUGCACCAGGGUGGUGUCGCCGCGCAGCGGAGCAUUGGUGUUGGUGCACGGGGCGUGAACAUUGGGGCCCGCAGUUGGGAUCGCGCCGGCACGGUCGCGGGCACCGCUGAAGAUAUGUUGGCGCGACCGGUCGCUUAUGGUGCACGCUAAUACCCGCAUACUGUGUGUAAGCACCGAUUGCAAUUAUAAGUUGCGCAUGUAGAUAUCGGUCUUCUCCCGACAUGCGCUCUGAUGACGGUUCCAUUUCCGCCAACUUAGGGUGAGAGUUAAGAGCCGGAGCCCUGUUGCCACCUGCAAAAUGCCUUAGCAACAUGUGGCAACUAUCUGCCCGAAGCAAGUUGCAAGCCAGCCCAGUUCAGGUUGCCACAUGCCAUGCUGGGUAUUCCCAGCGCGCUAGCGCACCUGCUUGGGCAGCUCGCUAUGGCUGCCGUCGACAGUUGACCCUGGUAUGCCAUCGCUAGAGUCGCAGCCCGCUCCGGCCAACCUCGCUCCUCCGCAACCGACACACGAACCCGACGUCAGACGUGGAAAUGGAUCUGGGGGACUGCGGGGUUUUGGGGUGUGUUGGGUUGGUGGCGUGAAGGGUGUGAUUUGUGAGGAAUUUAUCGAUGCAUGCCAAGUUGCACGCCUUUCCCCUGUGUUUCCUACAUGCCCCUGAACCCUCCCUUUGCUGGCUGCAGGCGAAGCGACAAGUGGUACCGCUGGUACCACCCACGGGGGCCUUGUGCCCAAGCCGUGGUGGCGCAUGGUAACUAUACACGUGGCGGUCAUCGACAUUGCUUUGUGCCGGCGCGCAGCACCCAGGAUGUGCGGCGAUCGCUGAAAUGCAGUUGUGGGGUCCACACUCAUAUGGCACCCACGCCCCACACAGCACUGAUGCAGGGCUCCUGCAGCCGUCACGCCAUGGGAAUCAGCAUAUGGGCAGUGGCCUGUGCAUACUUCUCUGUGGCCUGGCGGGGCAUCUGGCCAGGGCGUUUGACUAGCGGCAUGGGGCCUGCACGCCGGUAGGGGGGCGCAGGCCCAAAAUGAUGCAAGGAAGCUGAUGUGUUGCGUGAGGUGCGCAGCGGUUCCUGAUGGACGUGGGUGCUUUCAUGCGUAUGUAUAUUGGCUAUGUGCUUCCANNNNNNNNNNNNNNNNNNNNNNNNNNNNNNNNNNNNNNNNNNNNNNNNNNNNNNNNNNNNNNNNNNNNNNNNNNNNNNNNNNNNNNNNNNNNNNNNNNNNUGCCUUAGCAACAUGUGGCAACUAUCUGCCCGAAGCAAGUUGCAAGCCAGCCCAGUUCAGGUUGCCACAUGCCAUGCUGGGUAUUCCCAGCGCGCUAGCGCACCUGCUUGGGCAGCUCGCUAUGGCUGCCGUCGACAGUUGACCCUGGUAUGCCAUCGCUAGAGUCGCAGCCCGCUCCGGCCAACCUCGCUCCUCCGCAACCGACACACGAACCCGACGUCACUUGAUCCCACAAUUCCAGCGACUUUUGCGACCGGCUCUCCACCGACCGCUUGGAUGCUUGCGCCCGGUCGCUGCCCCAGCUACUUCCGCGGUGAAAUAACAACGGUGAGCAC